rnacentral:tRNA from 1 species
GGGACUGUAGGCUAGCUUGGUAGACUGCUAGGCUCGGGUCCUAGUGGCCCAGGUUCAAAUCCUGGCAGUCCCA